rnacentral:rRNA from 1 species
AUGCGCACCACAAGGCCGAGGAUGAUGUCUCACCGGCUCGUCCUGUCCGUGGCCAUCGUCGCGGCCCUGCUUGUGCCCGGCGCCACGGGAUACCCGUGGAAGGACUGCGGCGACGGCCAAUUCGCGGCCGGCAGCAAGUACCUGGCCAACAUCAACCUCCUCGCGGUCUCGCUCCCCAAGAACGCCGCGGUGUCCCCGGACCUCUUCGCCACCGCCGAGGCCGGCGCCGCCCCGGACAAGGUCUGGGCCCUCGCGCUCUGCCGCGGCGACGCUAACGCCACGUCCUGCCUCAGCUGCCUCGCCCAGGCCUUCCGGGACCUGCCCAACGUGUGCGACUACAGCAAGGUGGCCACCAUGUACUACGACUCGUGCACGCUCCACUACUCCAACGCCUCCCGGGACCCGGCGCCGGUGGCGGCGCGGACGUAUAGGUACUGGGAGAGCACAAAUGUCACGUCCGAGCAGGCCUAG